AUUGAACGCUGGCGGAAUGCUUUACACAUGCAAGUCGAACGGCAGCACGGGAGCUUGCUCCUGGUGGCGAGUGGCGAACGGGUGAGUAAUAUAUCGGAACGUAUCCAAUAAUGGGGGAUAACUAGUCGCAAGAUUAGCUAAUACCGAAUACGCCCUGCGGGGGAAAGCUAGGGACCGCAAGGCCUGGCGUUACUGGAGCGGGCGAUAUCUGAUUAGCUAGUUGGUGAGGUAAAGGCUCACCAAGGCGACGAUCACUAGCUGGUCUGAGAGGACGACCAGCCGCACUGGAACUGAGAGACGGUCCAGACUCCUACGGGAGGCAGCAGUGGGGAAUUUUGGACAAUGGGCGGAAGGCUGAUCCAGCCAUUCCGCGGGAGUGAAGAAGGCCUUCGGGUUGGAAAGCUCUUUCGCAAGGGAAGAAAACUUACCCUCUAACAUAGGGUGAGGCUGACGGUACCUUGAUAAGAAACACCGGCUAACUACGUGCCAGCAGCCGCGGUAA
rnacentral:rRNA from 1 species